GUGCCAGCCGCCGCGGUAAUACGUAGGUGGCAAGCGUUGUCCGGAUUUAUUGGGUUUAAAGGGUGCGUAGGCGGUUGAUUAAGUCAGUUGUGAAAUACGGUAGCUCAACUAUCGAGGUGCAAUUGAUACUGGUUGACUUGAGUACAGACGAGGUAGGCGGAAUUGACGGUGUAGCGGUGAAAUGCAUAGAUAUCGUCAAGAACACCGAUAGCGAAGGCAGCUUACUAGACUGUAACUGACGCUGAGGCACGAAAGUGUGGGGAUCAAACAGGAUUAGAUACCCGAGUAGUCC
rnacentral:rRNA from 1 species